rnacentral:rRNA from 1 species
GACGUAGGGCGCGAGCGUUGUCCGGAUUUAUUGGGCGUAAAGAGCUCGUAGGCGGCUUGUCGCGUCGUCCGUGAAAACUUGGGGCUCAACCCCAAGCUUGCGGUCGAUACGGGCAGGCUAGAGUUCGGUAGGGGAGAGUGGAAUUCCUGGUGUAGCGGUGAAAUGCGCAGAUAUCAGGAGGAACACCGGUGGCGAAGGCGGGUCUCUGGGCCGCUACUGACGCUGAGGAGCGAAAGCGUGGGGAGCGAACCGG